UUCCAUUUCUUCGCCUUUUGUUUGGUCGAUUAUUUCAAUGGUCUGGACUGUUUUUGUAUUCCAAUCCACUCCCUAGCUGUCCUUCAUUAAAAUGGGAAGCCCGUAUCGCAUGCAUUCUGUGGCGAUGUUAGAAAACACGCUGCGAGGACCUUAGAGGAUUUCAAUCCUGGUCCUCUGUCGUAGCCAUUCGAGGUCCCCGCAUCCUUCCCUGAUGGGUCAGAAAUUGGUUUCAAUCCAGGCUUCUGCUGGCUAAGGAAUCCUCAUGAUGUCAACAGUGGAUGGAGUCUUCUCUGUGAUGUUAUUUUGGUGAAAGGUUAAUGAAUCUCCUCCAGAAUGUGGUUUCCCGACCAGACUAUUGGAAAUGAAGUCUACUAUGAACCGGAGAAACAUUACUAUUUUGGUAUUGCGAAACUUCCUAUAAUAAAAUCCAUAUAUGAAUUUGGAAUGUGUGUUGUGUCUAUCUUUUGGGAGGGGGGGGGGUCAAUUUUUCGACAAUAAGACAACAUCUUUCUCUGAGUAUCUUACAUGGUCUUGAAAAAGCGGGUCCUUAACAUCAUUGAGAAAGACGCCUUAGGCCACAGGAAUACAAGACAAUAUAAAGGAAGAGGUGUGAAUGAAAUGCUAUCUGAUCGCUACCAAAGGCACGGCAUGUGGAGAUUAAACGCCGCUCAAUUCAGCAGCUAACAAAGAAGUAUAAAAUUGGAAAAUGAUGGGGAAGCAAUUUCCAACAAUAUACUAUUUGACAAAAGGGGGGAAAACCUGUCAAGGGGAUAGACCAUACUUAGAUGCCUUAAUAUAUGAACUUUUUCCUUUGGCGGCAGUUUCCCUCCUGAAGGUGACUGAGUUGGAAGAUUAACUACCAUUUCACUACAGUGCUAUUUUUGUGUGAUGCUAUUUUUAUGGAUGAAUUUUGGGUUUGGUUUGGUUUUUUUUUUAAAAGAAAAGAAUCCCCUCUCUCUCUCUCUCUCUCUCUCUUGCCUUUUUUCAUAUUCUCCUUUGUAGCAUCAGGAUGCUAUUGAACUGCCUCUUUUCUUGCAAGUCCUUUCAUAUUCCUAUAAUCAUUCUUCCAGAGGCGUACUUUGUUUGGUGUCAGGCAAAAUUUAUUUUAAAAAAGGACAGAAAUGGUUAGGUUGGUUCCUACUGUUUGUAUUAUUGUCAUUACAGUUUCCACACUUGAGAGGGUCCUUUCAGAAAUAUGAAAAGCACAUAAGGCAUCAGGAUAUGGGUCCCCCCCCCCCCCCCCCCCGGAAAGGCUUCUUAAAAACACACAGCAACAUAACAUAAAUCUGAGCUGAGAGAAGCAACUUCUUUUCUUUACUUUGAUUGUUGAUCUUGGCCCAAUCCUUGUAUGAAGAAUGGACUGAAACGGUGAAGCAGAACUUGGAAGUACAGUCGAGUCUCACUUAUCCAAGCCUCGCUAAUCCAAGCCUCUGGAUUAUCCAAGCCAUUUUUGUAGUCAAUGUUUUCUAUAUAUCGUGAUAUUGUGGUGCUAAAUUCGUAAAUACAGUAAUUACAACAUAACAUUACUGCGUGUUGAACUAUUUUUUCUGUCAAAUUUGUUGUAUAACAUGAUGUUUUGGUGCUUAAUUUGUAAAAUCAUAACCUAAUUUGAUGUUUAAUAGGCUUUUCCUUAAUCCUUCCUUAUUAUCCAAGAUAUUCGCUUAUCCAAGCUUCUGCCGGCCUGUUUAGCUUGGAUAAAUGAGACUCUGCUGUAACAGGUGACAAAGGACUACUUACUAUUCUUUGCUGUCUCUAGGAGCAAAAACAUAACUAUACAAUGUUAUGAUGUUAAUAUAACUAGGCAUAAUUGCACACUAGUUUAAUUGUCACUAUUUAAGUGACUUCUGUCUAUGGAAGAGACAGGGUGCAUAUCCUUUAUUUAUUUAUUUAUUUAUUUAUUUACAUCAUUUAUAUUCCGCUCUUCUCACCCCGAAGGGGACUCAGGGCGGAUCACAUUACACAUAUUAGGCAAACAUUCAAUGCCUUUUUAACACAGGACAAAGACAAACAUAGCUCCGAGCGGGCCUCGAACUUAUGACCUCCUGGUCAGUGACUCAUUGUUCUCCCGUCUGCGCCACAGCCCCGGGCUGUGAAUGAAUGCAGUUUGGUGAGGCAUCAGCACUCUUUGGCAGAGAAGGUCAAAGACCUUGUAAAUGGCACAAAUCCCAGGAUUCCCUGCACUGAGCCAUGGCACUUAAAGUAGUGUCAAACUGCUUUAAUCGUACAGUGUAGAUAAGUGGUUACAAACCUUUUUCUGACCGGGGCCCACUUUGACCAGGGCCCACUUGACCAGGGACCACUCUCCAAUAUGAGUACCAAAAGAGUCACGAAUCAGUUUUUGGUCCAUUUUAGAUUUAGUUUGGUUAUUUGGGGUGCUGAUUCAGAAAGCUGCAUUGGAUAAGCCACAUCAGCUCUAGUUUCUGAUACAGAACAUAUGCCAUCCAGUAUUCACCAUCUGCUUGCUCACAGAAAAUCAUAUUUAAUAAUCUAGAGCUGAUAUUCAAUGCAAUGGUCAGCUCUGCAGAAAGGAGCGGAAAUAAAAUAAAAUAAAUACAUAAAGAGGAAGGAGGUUCGUGGACUGGAUUUUUGUUCUCACGGCCCACUGUUGGGCUGCGGCCCACAGGUUGAGAACCACUGGUGUAGAUGCACCCUCAGGACUUCAUCCCACGGGAUAAACAAUAUGAAGUAAAUAGUUGGUUUUCCCUUAAGCUUUGCCAUACCUUGUUUUGAAAUUAAACAGAAGAGUUUCCUACCCCCAUCACACCUAAUCCUUUUCUCUGCUUUCUUUAAAAUUUAUCCAUUUUAUUUACCACCACAUGGGAGACAUAUGUCUCCUCCCACUGUCUCUUCCCCUGUCGUUUGCCCUCAUACCAUUCAACUAGACCAAAGCUAAGGUGUCAGUCUUAAGGAACCACUUUUUCUGGGGUCGUUUGCCCUUAUACCCUUCAACUAGACCAGAGUUAAGUCAUCGGUCUUAAGAAACCACUUUUCCUGGAGUCGUUUUCCUUCAACACUCUUCCAAUGAAGCUGAGUGAAGACACCACUUCCCUUAGAAGAAUGGGAAAAAUACAUUACAGAUUUUGUGAUAAUGGAUAAAAUAACUGUACUCUUAAGAGAAGAACUUUUAGAGAACUUGGUUAAUGAAUGGCAAUCAAUGGUUCAACAUCUCAAUGUACAAUUAAUCUAAAAAUGUACAUAGAGGAACCUAUAAGACUGUAGACAAGGAGGAAACUGAUAUUAAUUUAGAGCCUAUGAUAACUUUAUAUGUACCAUUUAAAUAAAAAAAAUAUUAUCUGAGAAAUGAUUAUGGAACACUAAUAGCUGGAAAAUAUUGCAUUGUAUGCAACAAACACUUAGAAAUGUAUGUCUAUUUGAGUAAAUACAAAUAUUCAAAAAAAAAAACACCCUACUUAUUUCACUAGCUACACUACCUGAAGGAGCAUUAGCUAUUGUAACAAAAAGAUAUAAAUUACCUCCUUGGUUUUAAAGAUUAUGGUGGAAGAAAGUGUUCUAUACUGUCCAUCUUGGUUACAGAUUGCUUUCUAUUUUCCUCCUUUCCUCCCAAAUAUUCCUAGAAAGAAAAUAGAUUUCUGUAGCCAUCUAGGACCAACUGCAUUAUAUGGUCAGUGUAGACUCAUAUAAUACAGUUUAACUGCACUGAACUACAUUACACUACAUAUAAUUGAGGCCCCUUCUACACUGCCAUAUAAAAUCCAGAUUAUCUGCUUUGAACUGGAUUAUAUGGCAGUGUAGACUCACACAAAGCAAAUAAUCUGGCUUAUCUGAUUUGAUAAUCUGGAUUAUAUGGCAGUGUAGAAGGGCCCGUAGUUUAACUGCAUUGAACUGCAUUAUAUGAGUUUACACUGAUCAUAUAAUGCAGUUUCAAAUUGCACUGUGUCUCAGUGUAGUUGAGGAGUUUGCUUCAGUUUGAUACACAGCUGCUUUAUUAUAGCAAAAACCAAGUGUAUUCCAGCCUCUAUAAAUACAUUUUAUGGCCUUCUUCGGGGACUACAUAAAUAUAAAUAAAUAUAAAUAUGAAAGAAGAAGAUAUAAUUAUAUGAUAAAACAUAUGUAAUGUGACACAGGAACAUUCAUUUUAAUCUUUAUAUGCUGCCUAAGGCAUCCAAUUUGAAAUCUGGCUGCAGAAAUGUCUGAAGCCAAGACUCUCAUUUGCUGGGUAAAAAGAAGCAUGUGAACUAGGCUCAAGGGUUCUUUUUUCAAUAUUAAUGUUAGCAGAUGGUUAGGAAAAAGGAGGAAGUUCGAGAGCCUUCAAGGACAUAUCAGUUCAACUGGGUUGAAAAGAGCUCCAAGGGAAUUUACACCGGUGGGAGAAAAUCAAAAUCCUCAUUUCAUCCUGUGGGAGCUGAAUAUUUCAAGUUUCUUUGAUAAAAUCUUCUUAUCCAUAUUAUUCAUAUUUUCUAUAGCACCAAAUCUGAAGUCUCUUGAAGGAUAAUGGAAUUUCAAGAAUGGUUUCUUAAAGGAGCACCUGUUUUAUGGUUUCUUAUAACUCAGAUGUUCCCAACCUUUUUGUGACCAGGGACCACUUUGACCAGGGACCAUGCUCCAACAAUUACGAAUAAAUUUUGGUCAACUUUAGAUUCAGUUUGGUUAUUUGGGAUGCUGAUUCAGAAAAUUGCAUUAGAUAGAUCACAUCAGCUUUAGUUAUAGAUAUAGAAUAUGUGCCAUCAAGUAGCCGCCAUCUGCUCACCCACAGAAAACCAUAUUUAAUAAUCUAGAGCUGAUGUGGUCUAUCUAAUGGAAUUUUCUAAAUCAGUACCCCAAAUAACUCCAGGAACAGGCCUAAAAAUGAAGACACCAAGGCGCCCCCACUUCUAGGCACCACAUGGAAGGGGGAGGGAGGAGGAGGAGAAGCAGCAGUCAGGAGGCUUGUUGUCGCGCCUUUCAUGGGUAGUCAGCCUCUCUUCUCCUGACAUCCCCGUUGCCUUGGAGAUACAACAGGGUUUCAUGAGACCAGUCACUCUUGUUGCAACGGUGUAGUAAUAGUGAGACCGUGGACCAUAUUUUAGUUCUUGUGAACCACUGGUGGUCCAUGUACCACAGGUUGAGAACCACUGUUAUAACUGAAAGGUGUUCUGCUGUAUGUUUUUAAAGAGGUCCCAUCACCAAAUCCCAUCUGAUCUUAGGAUCUGAGGCACCAACUAUGCUGCCAUAGAAUGCAAUUUGAAACCACAUUAUGAUCAGUGUAGACUUAUAUAAUGCAGUUCAGUGUAGUUACUAAGCCUGUAUGAUCAAUAAAAAAAUGUUUCAAUACUCAUUACUAAAUUGGGGAAGAAGCAGCAAAUGGUUUCUAAAGUAUUUCUAAAAUAUCAUAAGUAGUCUGUAUCGCAACUAUAAUGAUAUAAUGCUUUUUAUGUUACUUUUUCAUUAAGUAAUUGAGCCAAUUGAGCCACUUUGGGAGCUCCUUUCUCCCUCAUUGUUAGAACUAUCGGCAUGAAACUUGCUGCAAUUCUGAACAAGUUUCAGAAUGUUUCACUCAUCCACAGAUUUUUGGGGAAUUUUUAAAGUUUUUACAAACAACAUAAAAAAAUUACAAUAACUGUCUGCUUGAUUUUACAAUGACACAAGAUAACCAGGGCAUCAUUCUCCCCAAGUUUCGGAAAGAUCUGCACAUUUACUGAUUUUUUGGGAAUUUUUAAAGUUUUGACCAAAAAAAAAGCCAUAGCUAUCCCCUUGAAUGUCUCUCUCUGUAUGACACACAAUACAUACCAUAGAACUUCAACUUAGGGAUUUUCCUCCCAGUCCAGCACAGAUUUGCUUUCAGUCUUCUUUGCAGAUUCAAUAAUUUACUGAAAUUCUGAUGCACGAAUGGACAAUAGCUCUCUUCUACCUCCUUGGGGCUUUCUGAUGCAAGCAGAAUUCUGGGAAAUGUAGUUUAGGGCAGGGCCUUCUGAAUUCUCUGCCACAGAGGUCUUCGCCUUCCCAAACUACAUUUCCCAGAAUUCUCAGUCUCCCUCCCAGCUCAAUUGACCUCCCAGUGAUGACAGACAACCUUAAUUUAAAGAGGUAUGGCCUGUUUGGCUUUGCAUCACUGGUACAGUUUGCUGCUUGCUUGUGCUGAAAAUGAAACUGAUUUUGGGAAACUUACAAGGUUUGCUGUAAUGUAAAGUCAUAGGUGAGUGUUUUUAUUCUUAAGUUUUUUGCUUGGGUGCCCCUCGUGUUUCUUAAUAUUGCCUCAUGUGUAUGAAUCUUACAAAAUAAUACAACUUAUGAGGCACAAAUGACUUUUUUGGCACAGCCAUAGUAGUUACAGCUGCACUAUAUAGUUUAAAACUGCAUUACAUGGCAGUGUAGAUGGGGAGUCUAACCUGGUUAAUAUUUGGAUGGGGGACCACCAAGGAACACCAAUUGUUAUAGGCUACAGUUUGGAGGAAGUGUCUAGAUCCAGGGAAGUCCUGCUCCCCCUCUAUUCUGCCUUGGUCAGACCACACCUGGAAUACUGCGUCCAAUUCUGGGCACCACAGUUGAAGGGAGAUGUUGACAAGCUGGAAAGCGUCCAGAGGAGGGCGACUAAAAUGAUUAAGGGUCUGGAGAACAAGCCCUAUGAGGAGCGGCUUAAAGAGCUGGGCAUGUUUAGCCUGCAGAAGAGAAGGCUGAGAGGAGACAUGAUAGCCAUGUACAAAUACGUGAAGGGAAGUCAUAGGGAGGAGGGAGCAAGCUUGUUUUCUGCUGCCCUGCAGACUAGGACACGGAACAAUGGCUUCAAACUACAGGAAAGGAGAUUCCACCUGAACAUCAGGAAGAACUUCCUCACUGUGAGAGCUGUUCGACAGUGGAACUCUCUCCCCCGGGCUCUGGUGGAGGCUCCUUCCUUGGAGGCUUUUAAGCAGAGGCUGGAUGGCCAUCUCUCGGGGGUGCUUUGAAUGCGAUUUCCUGCUUCUUGGCAGGGGGUUGGACUGGAUGGCCCAUGAGGUCUCUUCCAACUCUACUAUUCUAUGAUUCUAUGAUUCUAUGAGGAAGACUCUGGCAAAUCAUCUCAGAACAUUUUUUGCCUAAGAAAGCACUUUUAAAUCCAUGGGGUCAUUAUAUGUUGACAUUAUAUGGACAUCCUACCAUCACCCUUUCCCAUAGGGUUUAACAGCCAGAAUAGAUCAUGCAAACUGUCGUUUUACAAGAUCUUGAGCCUUGUAUGCAUAAGUGCCGGUGCCUCGCCAAAAUACAACUUCCAUGAUUCCAUAGCAUUGAGCCAUGGCAUUUAAAAGUAGUGUCAAACUGGAUCUGUGUCAGCAGAUGGAGGCAGAGUCAGGGAUGUGGGUCGACCUUGGCUCCAUCCAUACUGCCAUAUAAUGCAGUUUGAAACUACAUUAUAUGGUCAGUGCAGACUCAUAUUAUGCAGUUAAACUUCUUUGUUUGUGCCCAUUUCUUUUUCCUCAAACCUAUCCUAUCCUCUUUCCAAAUGCUAUUACAGUAGAGUCUCAUUUAUCCAAGCCUCUAUUAUUAUUUAAAGGAUACGUAAGAAAAUUUACAUUGAAGAAGAUGAAAAUAAUGAUUUAAUCAGAGUUGGACACUCAUAUCUUAAAUUAGUUUGAUGUAAAGAUUCAAAAACAUUUAAAUUACUGAGGCCUCAAUUAAUGUAAUUUUACUGGUAUCUCAGCUUAUACUGGAGUCAAUGUUUUCCCAGUUUUUUUGUGGUAAAAUUAGGUUCCUCGGCUUAUAUUUGGGUCGGCUUAUACUCAAGUAUAUAUGGUAUUUUUAAUACUUUAGUACAGUACAAUUGCAUUGCUUUAAUUUAUAUUGUUAUAUAUAAAAGACCAGACCACAGUGUGGAUUGAAACAGGGCCAACUUAUACUUAAAACAUCUGAAUUAACUUGACACCUAUCUAUUCCUUUCC